GUGGGGAAUCUUAGACAAUGGGGGAAACCCUGAUCUAGCCAUGCCGCGUGAGCGAUGAAGGCCUUAGGGUUGUAAAGCUCUUUCAGCUGGGAAGAUAAUGACUGUACCAGCAGAAGAAGCCCCGGCUAACUCCGUGCCAGCAGCCGCGGUAAUACGGAGGGGGCUAGCGUUGUUCGGAAUUACUGGGCGUAAAGCGCACGUAGGCGGACCGGAAAGUCAGAGGUGAAAUCCCAGGGCUCAACCUUGGAACUGCGUUUGAAACUCCUGGUCUUGAGGUCGAGAGAGGUGAGUGGAAUUCCGAGUGUAGAGGUGAAAUUCGUAGAUAUUCGGAGGAACACCAGUGGCGAAGGCGGCUCACUGGCUCGAUACUGACGCUGAGGUGCGAAAGCGUGGGGAGCAAACAGGAUUAGAUACCCGGGUAGUCC
rnacentral:rRNA from 1 species